rnacentral:rRNA from 1 species
UACGUAGGGUGCGAGCGUUGUCCGGAAUUAUUGGGCGUAAAGGGCUCGUAGGCGGUCUGUCGCGUCGGGAGUGAAAACUUACAGCUUAACUGUGAGCGUGCUUCCGAUACGGGCAGACUUGAGGUAUUCAGGGGAGAACGGAAUUCCUGGUGUAGCGGUGAAAUGCGCAGAUAUCAGGAGGAACACCGGUGGCGAAGGCGGUUCUCUGGGAAUAUCCUGACGCUGAGGAGCGAAAGUGUGGGGAGCGAACAGG